UUUCCGUAGGUGAACCUGCGGAAGGAUCAUUAUCGAAAAGCAAUCCGGGGGGGAGGCCACCGAGCGAAGUUUGGUAGAUCGUAGGGAUUGUCGCUGGCCUUUGGAAACGAAGGCAUGUGCACGUUCCGAGUUCUCCUUAGUCCUCCUUUGCCUUUCCUUUGGAAGACCCUUUCUUCACACCCGUGCACACAUUGUAGGUCUCCGCGAGGGGAUCUAUGUCUUCACAAAAUUCUACGUAUGUCCAGGAAUGUAUCUAAAGCGUCGAACGGCUCGGCUCCAUGCCCGGUCGCCGACGGUAAAGAACCAUAAUACAACUUUCAGCAACGGAUCUCUUGGCUCUC
rnacentral:misc_RNA from 1 species